GCUCAGAGCGAACGCUGGCGGCAGGCUUAACACAUGCAAGUCGAGCGGGCGUAGCAAUACGUCAGCGGCAGACGGGUGAGUAACGCGUGGGAACGUACCUUUUGGUUCGGAACAACACAGGGAAACUUGUGCUAAUACCGGAUAAGCCCUUACGGGGAAAGAUUUAUCGCCGAAAGAUCGGCCCGCGUCUGAUUAGCUAGUUGGUGAGGUAAUGGCUCACCAAGGCGACGAUCAGUAGCUGGUCUGAGAGGAUGAUCAGCCACAUUGGGACUGAGACACGGCCCAAACUCCUACGGGAGGCAGCAGUGGGGAAUAUUGGACAAUGGGGGCAACCCUGAUCCAGCCAUGCCGCGUGAGUGAUGAAGGCCCUAGGGUUGUAAAGCUCUUUUGUGCGGGAAGAUAAU
rnacentral:rRNA from 1 species